CGCCUUUUGGGAAAAUAGAAGGUCUGGCCUGCCCACUGAGAAUUUAAAGGGCCGCAGUAUUUUGACUGUGCAAAGGUAGCAUAAUCAUUAGUCUUCUAAUUAAAGGCUGGUAUGAAUGGCUGGACGAGGUGUUAGCUGUCUCAUUAAAAUUAAGGUUGAAUUUAGCUUCUUAGUCAAAAGGCUGAGAUGAUAUUGGAGGACGAGAAGACCCUAUAGAUCUUUACAUUUAAACUUUUUAACUAUUUUGGUAAGUUUACAGUUUUAAGGGGCAAUUGUUUUGUUGGGGUGACAGGGGGAUAAAUAAACUCCCUUUAAGCAGAACCACUGAUGAGUGAUUGAUUGAUCCAUUUGGUGUGAUUAUAAGACUAAGGUACCUUAGGGAUAACAGCGUAAUCUUUUUUAAGAGUUCUAAUCGACAGAAAGGGUUGCGACCUCGAUGUUGGACUAAAGGUUAUUCCUGGGUGUAGCAGCUCAGGGUUUAGGUCUGUUCGACCUUUGAAUCUUUACAU
rnacentral:rRNA from 1 species